UCCUAAUUCAACAUAUCACAUGUUACUGUCUCUCAUACUCUCAUCUCUUUGUCGGUACUCUUUCUCUCUCUUCUAUUUCUCAGAGUGAGUUCUCUCUUUAUUCUUAUGAUUUAAUUUCAGAUCAGAUCGGUGGAUUUCCAUCUUAGAUUAGAUCGGUAGCGGCUUGGUCUCUUUCUCUAUCUCUUUUUUGAUCGGUGGACUUAAUCUCAGAUCAGAGAUAUGCAGUGAACUCUACACUCUCAAAUCGAUUGUUCAUCUCAUUUUUGUUAAUCUUUUCUUCAAUGGAUUCGGUAAAUGUAAGUAAAAUGUUUCGCUGAGGUGUCCGUUUUCUUCAAAUCGAUUAUGUCUGUUUCUUGCUCUUUUUCUAAUAAACUUGAAUCCCCAUAGAUUUCUCACCUUUUCUUUUUUAGAUUUUUAAUUUUGCUAAGGUGGCUUUUUUUUCCGAACUAUGAUGCUCGGCUAUGUAUUGGGUUGUUUCCCGAACUUGAAUCCCUAUAGUUUUCCGUAAAGAGAGCUUUCCGGCCAGGAGAGGUGGGUUGGUUUUGUCUCGGAGAUGAAAAGUGCAGCAUUGGUUUGGGAGUGCAACAGUGUUGUCAGGAACAGUGAUGAAACAUUGGUUGUCAGCGUGGGUCUUGGCAUUGGAUUGUGUGGGUUGUUGAAAAGAGGAGUGUGGUUGUUUUUGGUGGAAUUAUAAAGUGCAGCAGCAUGAGUGAAGUUAUUUUGACAGUGUAGCACUUGGGAAUUUGUUGUGGUUAGUGUGGGUUGUUUUGUGGAUUUUAAUUAUUUUAUUUUUAGAGUUAAGUGCUGUAGCUUUUGGCGGAAAAGAAUAGUGUGCGUUGGUGGAGAAAAAA